rnacentral:rRNA from 1 species
UGGGCUUCACGCAUGCUACAAUGNCCGGUACAAAGGNCUGCAAUACCGCGAGGUGGAGCGAAUCCCAAAAAACCGGUCCCAGUUCGGAUUGAGGUCUGCAACUCGNCCUCAUGAAGUCGGAGUCGCUAGUAAUCGCAGAUCAGCAACGCUGCGGUGAAUACGUUCCCGGGUCUUGUACACACCGCCCGUCAAGUCAUGAAAGUCGGUAACACCUGAAGCCGGUGGCCCAACCCUUGUGGAGGGAGCCGUCGAAGGUGGGAUCGGUAAUUAGG